ensembl:Mt_tRNA
CGCUAAGAAGCUUAUUUUGGAGCAAGCGUUAGCCUUUUAAGCUAAAGACAGGUGCCUUCCAACCACCCUCAGCGA